GCCCACGAGGUGUGACCUGCAAGAGCCACAGACAGGGCCCAAACGCUCUUCAAGGAGGCUGCUUCUAUCAGGCCUGGAUCUCCUCCAAAGCUGAGGCGCCCGGGGGCCCAGGAGGGGCUUUCUGGGUGGCCAGGGCCCCUCUGGGGUUCUUGGCCCCUGAGUGGGGGAUCUUCCCAGGGAUCAUACCCACGUCUCCUGUGGGUUCUUCACCACUGUGCCACCCGGAAAGCCCCAUUGAGGACAGAACCCGCAAAUCAGCGCUCACACAGCAUCCCCUGGGCGCACCCCGAGAGUAUGGAUAAAGUCCCGGGACAGCCGCCGAGGUGACAGCCAGCACCCUCACUUCCCACCUGCUCUCUCCAUGCAUCAGAGCCGAGCACCCGCCCUUGGCCAGCCAGUUCCCCAGGGUCACGGUCCCUCCCUGUCGUCACUGCUCAGCGAGGAACCGAGGGCCGAAGGAAACCAAGCCCUUCACUCUGGCGUGCAGCCAAAAGGUGAUGCGUAGACCUGUAGGCCUGUGUCUUUCAAGCAAGCAGAAAAGCUUUUCAAUUUUCUCUUAUAAGCCUGAGCUCGCUAUCUCACACCUUCUACUGCAGUUUAGCGGGGCAUUUUCUAAACUAUGGGAAAUUAUGGCUUUCAUAAUCUACAAAACAUUAAUCUACAAAGCUACUAUUUUUUACUACCAUUCCUGUUAUGAGUUGGCCUCAUGUGAGACUCCAGGCUAACAUGUCUGAUCCCACCCAGGACCUAAAGAUGCAGUCAGGAGCGCCG